rnacentral:rRNA from 1 species
UACGUAGGGUGCGAGCGUUGUCCGGAAUUACUGGGCGUAAAGAGCUCGUAGGUGGUUUGUCGCGUUGUCCGUGAAAACUCACAGCUUAACUGUGGGCGUGCGGGCGAUACGGGCAGACUGGAGUACUGCAGGGGAGAAUGGAAUUCCUGGUGUAGCGGUGAAAUGCGCAGAUAUCAGGAAGAACACCCGUGGCUAAGGCGGUUCUCUAGUACGGUACUGACGCUGAGACGCGAAAGCGUGGGGAUCAAACAGG